rnacentral:rRNA from 1 species
UACGGAGGAUCCGAGCGUUAUCCGGAUUUAUUGGGUUUAAAGGGUGCGUAGGCGGCCUAUUAAGUCAGGGGUGAAAGACGGUAGCUUAACUAUCGCAGUGCCUUUGAUACUGAUAGGCUUGAAUGUAGUUGAGGUAGGCGGAAUGUGACAAGUAGCGGUGAAAUGCAUAGAUAUGUCACAGAACACCAAUUGCGAAGGCAGCUUACUAAAGUAUGAUUGACGCUGAGGCACGAAAGCGUGGGGAUCAAACAGG